CUUGUCUCAAAGAUUAAGCCAUGCAUGUCUAAGUAUAAGCAACUAUACUGUGAAACUGCGAAUGGCUCAUUAAAUCAGUUAUCGUUUAUUUGAUAGUACCUUUACCUGGAUAACCGUGGUAAUUCUAGAGCUAAUACAUGCUAAAAACCUCGACUUCGGAAGGGGUGUAUUUAUUAGAUAAAAAACCAAUGCCCUUCGGGGCUCCUUGGUGAAUCAUAAUAACUUAACGAAUCGCAUGGCCUUGCGCCGGCGAUGGUUCAUUCAAAUUUCUGCCCUAUCAACUUUCGAUGGUAAGAUAGAGGCUUACCAUGGUCUUAACGGGUAACGGGGAAUUAGGGUUCUAUUCCGGAGAGGGAGCCUGAGAAACGGCUACCACAUCCAAGGAAGGCAGCAGGCGCGCAAAUUACCCAAUCCCGACACGGGGAGGUAGUGACAAUAAAUACUGAUACGGGGCUCUUUUGGGUCUCGUAAUUGGAAUGAGUACAAUCUAAAUCCCUUAACGAGGAACAAUUGGAGGGCAAGUCUGGUGCCAGCAGCCGCGGUAAUUCCAGCUCCAAUAGCGUAUAUUAAAGUUGUUGCCGUUAAAAAGCUCGUAGUUGAACCUUGGGCCUGGCUGACCUGUCCUCCUAAUCGAGCGCACGGGUUCGGUCGGGCCUUUCCUUCUAGGGAAC
rnacentral:rRNA from 1 species